AUUGAACGCUGGCGGCAGGCCUACCACAUGCAAGUCGAGCGGAUGAAGGGAGCUUGCUCCUGGAUUCAGCGGCGGACGGGUGAGUAAUGCCUAGGAAUCUGCCUGGUAGUGGGGGAUAACGUCCGGAAACGGGCGCUAAUACCGCAUACGUCCUGAGGGAGAAAGUGGGGAAUCUUCGGACCUCACGCUAUCAGAUGAGCCUAGGUCGGAUUAGCUAGUUGGUGGGGUAAAGGCCUACCAAGGCGACGAUCCGUAACUGGUCUGAGAGGAUGAUCAGUCACACUGGAACUGAGACACGGUCCAGACUCCUACGCGAGGCAGCAGUGGGGAAUAUUGGACAAUGGGCGAAAGCCUGAUCCAGCCAUGCCGCGUGUGUGAAGAAGGUCUUCGGAUUGUAAAGCACUUUAAGUUGGGAGGAAGGGCAGUAAGUUAAUACCUUGCUGUUUUGACGUUACCAACAGAAUAAGCACCGGCUAACUU
rnacentral:rRNA from 1 species